UCAGGUGUUGUUCAGACCAAACAUCAGAAUGCGGAAGAAAUGGAGGGGGAGGAGAAGCUGGCUGCUCCGAAAUGAAACAACAGGAAUUCUGCAGGUGCUGGAAAUUCAAGCAACACACAUCAAAGUUGCUGGUGAACGCAGCAGGCCAGGCAGCAUCUCUAGGAAGAGGUGCAGUCGACGUUUCGGGCCGAGACCCUUCCCAGGACUAACUGAAGAAAGACCUAUGGCACUUUCAGAAGGGAGCAUUUGGAAAAGGCAUUUUGCUGGGUGCAGUGCGCAUUCCUUUAUUACUGAAGUGGAUGAAUUCCAAUGGCACUCUCCGAAGAAUCCCACUGGAAUCAGUUUGUAUGUGCAGCAUCUGGAGUACAAAACGUAUGCUAUCAAGCUCAUCCCUUCGGGUGGAGAAAUGUUUAAUAAAUGUUUACCUAGAUUCUGCAAACCGAUUGUGCUCCAUAGCUAAUGAAAUUGUGCAAAUUCAGCAGAAGAUAUUCCAUUGCCUUUGUUUUUGUUCCAUGUCAAUUAUAUUGUUUGUGAUAAGUCAAAGCUGUUGCACAAGGUUUAAAAAUAGUCAUGUCUCAUUCCUUCUGCCAUUGUAAAAGAACUCUGAGUCAUAGAUUACAGGAUAAAAGAAUUGUUUAUUAGUUCUA